rnacentral:lncRNA from 1 species
CGUAGAAAUCGUGUCGCGCUCGUCAAUGGGGGCGAGCUAAGACCACUGCAACUAAUUUUGCGUGGUUGGUUCCUAAGUCGGUCCACUGUUUCUUGACCGCAAGCGCAGACUUUUCCUGUAGCAGCCGCCCUAGAUUUGGGUUUGUGGGGUUGGACCCGGCUAGCCGUUGAACACCACAUGUCGGGCCAAACCGUCCCUGCUAGCUUUCUUGCCUGUCCUGGUUCACAGCACGUAAGCAGCGACUCCGCAUAAAAAAAACAAACUGCCGAAAAUGUCGAC